rnacentral:rRNA from 1 species
AGUUCGGAUUGUAGGCUGAAACUCGCCUACAUGAAGCUGGAGUUACUAGUAAUCGCAGAUCAGAAUGCUGCGGUGAAUGCGUUCCCGGGUCUUGUACACACCGCCCGUCACACCACGGGAGUUGGAGACGCCCGAAGCCGAUUAUCUAACCUGUUGGAAGAAGUCGUCGAAGGUGGAAUCAAUAACUGGGGUGAAGUCGUAACAAGGUAGCCGUAUCGGAAGGUGCGGCUGGAUCACCUCCUUUCUAAGGAA